rnacentral:tRNA from 1 species
UUAAUUGAAGCCAAUACUAGGCGUCUCAUUGUUAAUGAGAAAUAUGAAUUACUUCCAAUUAAA